rnacentral:lncRNA from 1 species
AUAUUCUAUUGGUUAGAUACAAGUCACAGGUCCUACCCACAUUGAAGAGGAGGGGAAAAUAAGAGUGUAAUGCCAGAAACAGGGAUCAUGUAGUAUCACCUUAGGUUCAAUAUGUCACCAUCACUCUCCUUACGUUCUCUUAGAUUCCCAAUUUUCUUAUCAGUAUUAUCAGGGUAUGACAGAAUGAUGGUCAGACAUCUUUCAUGAGUUCAGGCAGCACCAUUUCUAAUGAGCACUAUUAUGCCUUCCACAAAGGAACUCAUGGCCUGUUAUCAAGGUGACUGUGCAAUGAGGAAAAGAAAAUGAUGAAACUUUUGGAGAGUUACUGACUGAACACCAGCUGUGAAUUGAUACUAAUUUCUGGAGACAAAACAUGAGUUUGUCCACCAGUCAGUGUCAGAGCUUAUGGAGGUCAGAAGAUCAAUGGAGUUUUAGCUUAGAUCCAUCUUAUAGUGACCCAGUGGGUCGCCAAACCCAUCCUGCAGUUACUUCUCCAGUUCCAGAAUAAAUAAUUGGAUAGAAAUAGUCAGCAACUGGCAGAAUUCCCAUAUUGGUUUACUGACCUCUAAAGCGAGAGCUAUUAUAGUAAGAAAAUACCAAAAGGAAGCCAAUAGAACUGCCUCUACUUUGAAAAAUAGCAAAUUAAAACCCAUAUCUUAUUUCUGGAUGGAUUGCAAACAUUAAUGCCAACAUCAGGAUGCAGAGGUAACAAUUCCCACCGCACCCUCACUCAACUUGCCUAUUUGCCUGUGUGGAAAAGAGAUGGAUCUUGGAGAAUAACAACAGAUUAUCCAGGAACAGAAUCAAGUGAACUUAAAUUGCAGUUGCUGUUUCAGAUGUGAUUUAAUUGCUUGAGCAAAUUAACACAUCCCUUGGUACCUGGUGUGCAGCCAUCGAUUUGUCAAAUGCUUUUUUCUUGAUAUCUGAUAACAUAGACAAGCAGAAGCAGUUUGUCUAGCUGGCAAGGCCACCGAUAAACCUGCACUUGAACUCGCUUGAACUCGGGAGGCACUAUCCUGCCUCUAGGGUAUAUCAACUCUCUAAACUUAUAUUUAGUCCAUAUAAAUUAAUUCAGCUAAAAUUUAGUCCACAGGGACUUUGAUUGCCUUUCCCUUCUACAAGAUAUCACACGGGCCUAUUACAGACGAGUAUUAUGGCGAUUGGACCUGCGAAGCAGGAAAUAGCAACUGCUGUAGACGUAGUUGUAAGACAAUUGCAUGUCCAAGGAUGAAAAAUGAAUCUAGAAAAAUGCCACGGCCUUCUACUUCAGUGAAAUUUCUGGGGGUCCAGUGGUGUACAGUAGGGCAAGAUAUCCCUUCUAAGAUGAAGGAUAAGUUGUUUCAUCUGGCUUCUCCUACAACUGCAAAAGAAGCACAACACUUAUAAGGCCUCUUUAAAUUUUGGAGACAACAUAUUCUUUAUUUGGGUAUGGUACUCCAGCAUUUACUGGGUGACUUGAAAAAACUGCUAGUUUUAACUGAGGUGUAUAAAAAGAAAAGGCUCUGAAACAGGUCCAGUUUGCCGUGCAAACUGCUCUGCCACUUGGAUCAUAUGAUUCAGAAGAUGCAAUGGUGUUUGAUGUGUCAGCAGCAGAAAGAGAUAUUGUUUGAAGACUUUUGCACACUUAUGGGGAAAUACAGUGGAUGCCUUAUAUUUUGGAGCAAAGCCCUGAAAUCCUCUGUGCGUUACUGCUCCCCUUUUGAGAAACAGUUUUUAGCUUGCUACCAAGCCUUAAACUGAACACUUAGCUAUGGGCAACCAAGUAACCAUAUGACCAGAGCUUUCUCUCACAUAUUGGAUGUUGUCUGUUCUACAAGCCAUAAAGUUGGGAAUGCACAAAAAUAUUGCAUUAUUGUAUGUGGAAGUCCUAUAUAUAAAAUUAGGCUUAAGUAGGCCCUGGAGGCACAAGUUUAAUCAGGAAGUGAGCCAAAUAUUCAUGACCCCAAUUCUUGCUGCACUACUUACUCUGUCUCCUAGUCUGCAGAUAUGGCCUUAUAACCAGUUCCCUACAACUAGUUGACUGAGGAAGACAAAACUUGAGCUUGGUUUAGUGAUGGUUCUGCACAAUAUGCAGACACUACCCAAAAGUGGAUGGUUGAAGCACUAUAGCCCAUUGUGGACAUUCCUGAAGACAGUGGAGAAGGAAAACCAUCCCAGUGGGUGGAAAUUUGAGUAGUGUACCCAGUUGUUUAUUUACUCAGAAGGAGAAAUGGCCAGAGGUUUAAGACUAUAUUAAUUCAUAGGCUAUAGCCAAUGGGUUGGCUGAAAGAUCAGGAGCUUGGAAAAAACAUUGUUGGAAAAUUGCUGAGGUAUGUGGAUGGAGACCCUCUAAGUGGGCACCAAAUCUGAAGAUAUCUAUGUCUUAUGUAAAGGCUCACCACGGGUUGCUUCACUAGAGGAGGGUUUUAUUAAUCAAGUGAAUAGAAUGAUCCAUCCCGUCAAUACCAGUCAGCUUCAUUUCCCAGCCAUUCUUGUCAUUACUCAAUGGUGACAGUUACGCAUGGGCUUACCCAUGCAUGGGCUCAGCACUAUGUCUACUCACUAAGGCCAACCUUGCUAUGGCCACUGUUGAGUGCCCAGUCUACCAGCAGAAGAGACCAACACUGAGUGCUUUAUAUGGACUCAUUCGUUAAGGUAAUCAUCCAGGUAACCUAGUGGCAACUUAAUUGCAUUGGACCACUUCCACCAUGAUACAGGUGGUGGUUUUUUCUUAAAGAAAUAGACACUUAGUCUGGAUAUGGAUUUGCCUUUCCUGAAUGCAAUGUUUCUGCCAAAACUAUGAGCUUACAGAAUGAUCAUAUUCCCUGCCAUUCUGAAGCAGCUAGCUUGAUAGAAUGAUGAAAUAACAUGGUGAAGACUCAGUUAUAAUAAUAGUUGGGUGGAAAUAAAUUGAAAAACUGGGGCAGGGACUAGGACAUCCUCCAGGAUGCUGUAUGUACUCUAAAUUAAUGUUCAAUAUAUGCUGCUAUUACUACCAUAGUCAUAAUUCAAAUAACCAAAAUUGAAGGCAGGAAAAUGGGAGUGGUUCCACUUACUAUUAGCCCUAGUGUUUUACCAGCAAUUUUUAAAAACAUCUCUAAGACCUUCAGUUUUUCUAGUCUAGAGAUUCUAGUUUUUAAGGAAUAAAUGGUUCUACCAGAAGACAAAACAUGAUCCCACUGAACUAGAAAUUGAGACUGCCACACAAACAGUUUGGAUUACUCAUGCCUCUGAAAGAACAAUAAAAGAAUGAGGUUACUAUAUUUAUUACAGUUUGGCCAUGAUAACCAAGGAAAAAAUGGGCUUCUAGUACACAAUGGAGGUAAUGAAGAAUAUCUCUAGAACACAAAAGAGUCCUUGGGGAAACUCAUAGUACUAGCAUGUCUUGUAGUUAAUGUCUAUGGAAAAGUAACAGAAGUCAAUUUAGAAGAGUGAACAUCACCCGAGGACUUUGCAUUGUCUUCUGGGGAAAGGGUGAGCAUGUUUUUGGUUGCAUAUGGGAUAGUUUUGCCACAGACAGCAGAAGUAUGUUCAUGUUAUUGUCUGUAUUUGGAGAUUGUGUAUAAACUAAGGACAUGUGUUUAAAUGCCAAAUUGACCCAUAGUGAACUGUGAUGAACAGUUUUUGUGUUAAUCCCUAGUUAUUCAAUCAAACUUAAUCUAGAGUGUUGCUGUCAUUGAAGAAUUUUGUAGAUGUAGUAAAAGUCCGUAGUCAGUUGACUUUACGCAAGGAAACUUGACUUAGAAAACCUGGAUAGAUUGCUUCUCGGCCUUUUGGCUAAGAUCAAGUGUAGAAAACCUGGGUGGGACUGAUUAAAUGUGUUUGAAAGGCCUUCAGGGCAGAGUUGAGGCUUUCCAGAAGGAGAAGAGAUUCUGCCAGUGGGCAGCCAUUCAAUUCAUGCCCAAGAGGUCCAGCCUGCCCUUCAUUAGGGCUUGCCCUGCAGACUUCAGACUUGUCCAACCAACCCCACAAUUGUGUAAGCCAGUCAUUUGCAAUAAAUCUGUUUAUAUAUCUCCCACUGGUUCUUUUUCUCUGGUUGAACACUAAUUGAUACAGGCACCAUUCACACUGUGAAUGGAAAUAUUGCGAGCUGAAAAGUGUACAAGAUCUGGCCGUACUUUACUAGCUGGUUGAUUUAAUUUUGUUCAGUAUUAAAAUGAACCAAGUCUAAAUAUUUCAAAUCCUCACAUAAGGGCACACCACUUAGGGACAACAACCAAUAUCUAAACAUUUCCAAAGUUUUGUUUCCUAAAUAAUUAUUUUAACACCAUGAAUGUUUAUUUGUGCAAGCAUUAUGCCCUCUAGUACCUCUUAUUUUUGGUGAUUUUUAUUAAAACAGUACAGUGAAAGAUGAUACUUAUCUGUAUUAUUUUCAGUUAAAUAAUUGUUUGAAUUAUAUUAUACUAAGAAAACUAGAGUAGAGAAAA